rnacentral:lncRNA from 1 species
CCAUCCGAGAGGAGGACACCCUUACAUCCCUUCCCCAUGAUGGUUGCCUAGCAAGCGUGACUGAUCAAGCCGCAUUCCCCGCCGCCUUUCUGGCAACUAGUUGAUGGUAUGAUGCAUCAUUGUUGCGGUGUACGAUGGCGCCUGAUGCGACUUAUGCCCUUUCAGCCUCCCAGGCAUGUCCCCACUUGCCUCACAGCCACCGAUGCAUCUCACGGCAGGGGUCUAAUUGUGUGCGUGUUUGGAUGCAGUGUUCCCCUCCACCUUUGGGCAACUAGUUGAUGGCGUCAUACAUCGUUGGCGCGGUGUACGGUGGUGCCUGAUGCGAUCUAUGCGUCCAGAAGCCCUUUCAGCCUCCCAGGCAUGUCCCCACAACUGCCCCACACAGCCAGCGGGGGUCUAACUGCGUGCGCGUUCACAUGCGGCAUGCCACGCCGCCUUUCUGGCAUCUAUUGAUGAUAUGAUGAAUCUUUG